rnacentral:ncRNA from 1 species
GAUAACACAAUGAAGAGGAAAGUAAUUUUUGCUUUAUCUACAGAGAGCCGUUGGUUGCUGGAAAACGGUGUUAAAGCUUAAAUGAAACUCACCUCUGAGUGCGUCUCUGAACAUUGUAGUAAGAGCGCCGGAUGCUGUGAACGCAUUCGUUAUAAAAACUGCAAGCCGGAUUUCGGCUUGCUAGAGGCUAACCAUUGUUAGCGAAAAAGGGUGGUACCGCGUGAAGACUUUCUCGCCCCUUGC